UACGUAGGUGGCAAGCGUUGUCCGGAUUUACUGGGCGUAAAGGAUGCGUAGGCGGACAUUUAAGUCAGAUGUGAAAUACCCGAGCUUAACUUGGGUGCUGCAUUUGAAACUGGGUGUCUAGAGUGCAGGAGAGGUAAGUGGAAUUCCGGGUGUAGUGGUGAAAUGCGUAGAUAUCCGGAGGAACACCAGUGGCGAAGGCGACUUUCUGGCCUGUUCUUGACGCUGAGGCGCGAAAGCUAGGGGAGCAAACGGG
rnacentral:rRNA from 1 species